UAGGGAAUAUUGCAAAAUGGGCGAAAGCCCGAUGCAGCAACGCCGCGUGGGCGAUGAAGGCCUUCGGGUCGUAAAGCCCUUUUUGAGGGGAUGAGGAAGGACAGUACCCUCAGAAUAAGCCUCGGCUAACUACGUGCCAGCAGCCGCGGUAAAACGUAGGAGGCGAGCGUUAUCCGGAUUUACUGGGCGUAAAGCGCGUGCAGGCGGAUUGGAGAGUUGGAUGUGAAAGCUCCCGGCUUAACUGGGAGAGGUCGUUCAAUACUUCCAGUCUUGAGUGCAGUAGAGGGAAGUGGAAUUCCGGGUGUAGUGGUGAAAUGCGUAGAUAUCCGGAGGAACACCAGUGGCGAAAGCGGCUUACUGGACUGUAACUGACGCUCAGACGCGAAAGCUAGGGUAGCAAACG
rnacentral:rRNA from 1 species